UAUAAGAAGACAUUGUACUGCUAAGCUUAUUGAUGAUAUAUAAGUUAAUUUACUGAGAUGCUGAAGGACACACCAUAACAGAAAUAAAAGUGUAAAAAGGAGAGGAAAAGAGAGAAAGAACAAGUAUAAGAAGACUUUGUACUGCUAAGCUUAUUGAUGAUAUAUAAGUUAAUUUACUGAGAUGCUGAAGAACACACCAUGGAGGAAAUAAAAGUGUAGGAAAAGUAGAGAAGGAAAAUUAUAAGAAGACAUUUUGCUACUAACUUUACUAAUAAGUUAAUGAACCGAGCCGUUCGUCGACUAAAUUAAACCUCGGAACUUAUUUAAACAUUCGAUAAUUCUGUCCGUCAUUCGUAAGGUGCAAUUACUAAUAUACAAAGACAUCAUAAGACAGAUAUAUUUAUACAGGACUCACGCUGAACUGUCGGUUGUGGACGAAAUAAAAUGUACAUAGACUGUU